GGAGAGUUGGCCGAGUGGCUGAAGGCAGCGGUCUUGAAAACCGCCGAGGGGUGACCCUCCCAGGGUUCGAAUCCCUGACUCUCCGCCA
rnacentral:tRNA from 2 species